rnacentral:rRNA from 1 species
AUGGAAGAAGAGGAUGGAGCAACUGAUAGUGAUGAUGAAGAUUAUGAACCUGAUAUGCUUGUGGACAGUGACAAUGAGAUAGGACAUGAUGAUGAUGAUUUAUAUGCAGAUAAUGUAGAUGAGGAUGAACCUGAGCAGAGAGAUGAAAAGAAAUCAAAUGAGAAAGCAAAGCAAAAAGGGAAAGAUGGAGUAGGUCCUAUCAAACAACAAAAAGGGAAACAAGCAUACCAUUCUGAUGAAGACAUGUCAGAGAAUGAUGAUUUGUGGGCUCCUGAUUCAGAUGAUGAAGAGCUCAAUUUUAAGUUCAAAUCCUUCAGAGAAGAGGAUCUUAAUAAGCCAAAGUUUCAUGUUGGGCAGGUGUUUGAGAGUGUAGAGCUGUUAAGGACUGCCAUCAAAGAGUACUCAUGUCAUAACAUAGUUGAUAUCAAGUUGCCUGUGAAUGACAGGAAGAGAUUGAAAGCAAAAUGUGAUGAAGACUGCACAUGGUACUUGUGGGCAUCAUAUGACAACAGGACCAUGGCUUUCAUGGUGAAAAGAUAUGUGAGUGAGCACACAUGCAACAAGAAGUGGAAAAUUAGGGCUUUCACAGCUAAAUUCCUAGCACAUAAGUACCUAGAGAUGUUCAGGGCUGAUCAAGACAUGAACCUUAUGAAUUUUUCUAGGGUUGUUCAGAAAGAAUGGCAUAUGACACCAGGCAGGAUGAAGUUGCAGAGAGCUAGAAGAAUGGAAAUGAAAAUAGUAUAUGGUGAUGAAGAAGGGCAGUACAAGCUUCUGCGGAAUUAUGCUAAUGAAGUCAGGAGAAGCAACCCUGGCUCAUCAUUCGAUGUCUCACUUGACCAGAAUGCAAGGUUCAACAAGCUAUAUAUGUGUUUGGAUGCUUGCAAGAGAGGAUUCCUUCUAGGUUGCAGGCCAGUGAUCUUCCUUGAUGGCUGCCACAUAAAAACAAGGUACAGAGGUCAACUACUUGCAGCUGUUGGUGUUGAUCCAAAUAAUUGCAUCUUUCCAAUAGCAAUUGCUGUUGUUGAAGUGGAGGACACCCCUAACUGGGUGUGGUUCCUUGACACACUGAAAAGGGAUCUUGGCAUUAUCAACACUGAACCCUGGACUAUCAUGUCAGACAAGCAAAAAGGUCUCAUUAGUGCUGUUGAACAACUAUUCCCUCAGGGAUAUUUUGAAGAACCAACUAUGGAAGAUAGCAAGGAGCAACACAGUUCAGUUAUAUGA